ACGCCUUUCCGUGGUGAGCAAAAUCGGUGCCUAGAGUGGUGUGGUGCGAUUCAAGGUUUUGCACGUUAGAGAUUGACAGGAAAGAAUGAAGCUUCGUGGUCCAUAUCAAUAAAGGGAGGUUGGUUUGUAUGCCAAUUUGUAAUCCGUUCUCGGCAUCAACACGUAAACUGUCACCAGAAGCUAUUGGUCCUCCAAUUUCCUGGAGACCAGUGGUGUCAGUGACACCAAAAAAUAAUACGAGCUGCUAGCGUGAAGAAGUAUAGUAAAGUUGGCUUAAGCCAACGUCGGUGGAAAAAACAAAAUGGCAACAAUAGAUGGCAGACCAACCCAAUAUGGUAUCAGUCUUAAGCAACUUCGUGAGCUCAUGGAGCUCCGAGGACGUGAAGGUGUCACUAAAGUCAAUAGCUAUGGUGGUGUGCAGGAGAUUUGUAAAAAAUUAUAUACUUCACCUAGUGAAGGUCUCAGUGGAUCAGCAGCUGAUAUUCAACAUAGACGAGAUACAUUUGGUUCCAACCUAAUACCUCCAAAACCACCAAAAACAUUUCUACAAUUAGUGUGGGAAGCUCUUCAAGAUGUUACAUUAAUUAUCUUGGAAGUAGCAGCAUUGGUUUCAUUAGGUCUUAGCUUUUAUCACCCAGCAGAUGAUGAAGAAAAACCUUUAAUAGAUGAAGAUGAAGCAAAAUAUGGUUGGAUAGAAGGAGCUGCUAUAUUUAUUUCUGUGAUCUUGGUGGUAAUAGUAACAGCUUCCAAUGAUUACUCUAAGGAAAAACAAUUUAGGGGCCUCCAAAGUCGUAUAGAGGGGGAACAUAAAUUUUCUGUCAUUAGACAAGGAGAAGUCAAACAGAUUUCUGUAGCUGAUAUUGUUGUUGGUGAUAUAUGUCAGAUAAAAUAUGGAGACCUGCUGCCAGCAGAUGGUAUCCUUAUACAAAGCAACGAUCUCAAAGUGGAUGAGUCCAGUUUAACCGGAGAGUCAGACCAUGUUAAAAAAGGAGAAUCGUUCGAUCCCAUGGUACUCUCAGGUACACAUGUGAUGGAGGGUUCUGGAAAAAUGUUAGUUACUGCAGUAGGUGUUAAUUCGCAGGCUGGUAUUAUCUUUACUUUGUUGGGUGCUGCUGUUGAUCAACAAGAACAAGAAAUCAAGAAAAUGAAGAAAGAGGCUAAGAAGCAGCGGAAGAAGAAGUCAUUAACAGAUGAAGAAAUAACUGGGAACAGCCAUGUGAGCGCAGCCAAGCCUGAACCUGCGGAGAACCACCAUGCAGUUAGCCACGCACCUGAAGGAAAGAAGGAGAAGAGUGUUUUACAAGCCAAGCUAACUAAACUCGCCAUACAAAUCGGUUACGCCGGCUCGACCAUAGCAGUGCUUACCGUUGUCAUUCUAGUCAUUCAGUUCUGCGUUACCACAUUUUACGUGCAGGGGAAAAGUUGGAAAAAUACAUACGCUGGUGAUUUGGUGCGGCAUUUGAUCAUUGGUGUAACGGUACUUGUAGUUGCCGUUCCCGAAGGUCUUCCUCUAGCUGUUACCCUCUCCCUUGCUUAUUCCGUUAAGAAAAUGAUGAAAGACAACAACUUGGUGCGUCAUUUGGAUGCUUGUGAAACGAUGGGUAACGCGACGGCAAUCUGUUCGGACAAGACUGGUACCCUGACAACCAACCGAAUGACCGUUGUUCAAUCGUACAUAUGCGAAAAGAUGAGUAAAAUAACCCCGCAGUUUUCGGAUAUCCCGUCGCAUGUCGGAAACUUAAUGGUUCAAGCUAUUUCUAUUAAUUCGGCGUACACAUCCAGAAUAAUGCCUGCGCAGGAACCUACAGAUUUGCCGCUUCAAGUCGGCAAUAAAACCGAAUGUGCCUUACUUGGAUUUGUAAUAGCCCUGGGCAUGAACUAUCAGACGAUACGAGACGAUCAACCUGAGGAAACUUUCACGCGGGUAUACACGUUCAAUAGCGUUAGGAAGAGCAUGUCCACCGCCAUCCCGAGGAAAGGUGGUGGAUACAGGCUCUUUACCAAGGGCGCUUCCGAGAUCAUCAUGAAGAAAUGUGCCUUUAUAUAUGGUCGUGAAGGUCAUUUGGAAAAAUUUACCAAAGAGAUGCAAGAGCGUCUGGUAAAGAACGUGAUCGAGCCGAUGGCGUGUGACGGUCUCCGUACUAUUUGCAUCGCGUAUCGCGAUUUCGUUCCUGGAAAGGCAGAAAUUAAUCAGGUUCAUAUCGACAACGAGCCGAAUUGGGAUGACGAGGAAAAUGUCGUGAACAAUCUCACGUGUUUGUGCAUUGUGGGUAUCGAGGAUCCGGUACGGCCCGAGGUGCCGGAAGCGAUCAGAAAGUGUCAAAAAGCAGGCAUCACUGUGCGAAUGGUGACUGGAGACAAUAUAAAUACCGCGCGUUCCAUUGCUUUGAAAUGUGGAAUUUUGAAACCAAACGAAGAUUUCCUGAUCCUCGAAGGCAAAGAGUUCAAUAGGAGGAUUCGCGAUAGCAGUGGCGAAGUACAACAACAUUUGUUGGACAAAGUGUGGCCGAGGUUAAGGGUGUUGGCUAGAUCGUCACCUACAGACAAGUAUACACUCGUAAAAGGCAUAAUCGAUAGCAAAGCGAGCGUGAGUCGCGAAGUUGUUGCUGUAACUGGUGAUGGAACGAACGACGGCCCUGCUUUGAAAAAGGCUGAUGUCGGUUUUGCCAUGGGUAUCGCUGGCACCGACGUCGCCAAGGAAGCUUCCGAUAUCAUCUUAACGGAUGAUAAUUUUUCGUCGAUCGUGAAGGCAGUUAUGUGGGGUAGAAACGUCUACGAUAGUAUAGCAAAGUUCUUGCAGUUUCAAUUGACCGUCAAUAUCGUCGCUGUUAUAGUUGCUUUUAUCGGGGCAUGUGCCGUGCAAGAUUCCCCUCUUAAAGCGGUGCAGAUGUUGUGGGUGAACUUAAUCAUGGACACAUUAGCAUCUCUUGCAUUGGCCACCGAAAUGCCUACGCCUGAUCUUCUUCUUCGUAAACCCUAUGGUCGCACGAAACCGCUCAUUUCCAGGACAAUGAUGAAGAACAUUCUUGGCCAAGCUAUCUAUCAGUUGACUGUAAUUUUUAUGCUUCUUUUCGUUGGUGAUAAGAUGCUCGACAUCGAAACAGGCCGAGGAGUUGCGCAGGCUGGCGGCGGUCCAACGCAACACUUUACUAUUAUCUUUAAUACAUUCGUCAUGAUGACACUUUUCAACGAAUUUAACGCUAGAAAAAUCCAUGGUCAGCGUAAUGUCUUCCAAGGAAUAUUCACCAAUCCCAUCUUUUACACUAUCUGGAUCGUGACAUGUCUAUCGCAGGUAGUUAUCAUACAAUAUGGUAAAAUGGCGUUCAGCACGAAAGCUCUCACAUUAGAACAAUGGAUGUGGUGCCUAUUCUUCGGAGUCGGUACUCUAUUGUGGGGCCAAGUAAUUACAACUAUUCCUACGCGCAAGAUUCCUAAAAUCCUUUCAUGGGGCCGCGGCCAGCCGGAUGAUAUCAGUGCGAUCAAUCUAGGAGAUGAGAAAUUCGACCCUGACUCGGAUAAAAAGCCGCGCGCAGGACAAAUUCUAUGGAUCCGUGGUCUAACACGACUACAGACACAGACGAGCAAAAGAACUCUGGUGCAGAAUGUAUCUGUGACAGGCAGAUCCCCCUCUCAGGAUUACUAUAUGCCAGCGGAACCCAUUCGGGAGACUGAGGUAUAACGGGGCGGCAGUCUUGCUCGCCGCCACACUUAUCCUGUCGGAGUACAAACAACUUCGAGUAAUCAGAGCGUUCAAGUCGACUCUAGAAGAUUUGGAGGAGCGUCGCUCUGUCCAUAGUUUACACAGCUUACACAGUAUGCGCAGUUCACGCAGCCACACUGGGC
rnacentral:misc_RNA from 1 species